rnacentral:lncRNA from 1 species
UCCCAAUAUCUUUUUUGUUCCUUCUCACAUAAACUUUCAGAGGCUUUGAGCUAUCACUCUUUUUCGUAUCAUCUUCUACAUAAACCUUCUUCUCCUUCAUCUUAUCUAUGUCAUUUUCUAUGUAGACCCUUUCCUCAGUGUCUUCUUCUAUAUCUUCCUCAUACAUUUUGGCCUACCCAAGAUUUAAAAGAAGGAAAAGAUCAGGUAAAGUUACAAUAGAAAAUAUUUCAGUAUACCAAACAAUAUUGUAUAUAUAAUAAUGUAAAGUAACAUAUUACAAGGGUAAAUGUUUUUCGAAUAGAAAUUUUCAUUGUAGGUGAAGAAAAAUGUUGUUGCAAAGAGUGUACAUGAGAGAGAAGAGGUGUGAAAAACAAAAUGUAAUUACAAUUAUAUCAUUUUUAUUUACAGGAAGAUGAUAGUUUUAUCCUUAAAACUAAAGGAAAAAAGAAUAUUUCUAGUAUCGAAGAGGAUAUUGGUCAAGUUGCAAAAACUAUUGCAGUGGGAAUGACCUAUAUAACAUGGUUGAGAAAAUUAGAGUGGUACAUAUAAAUUAGUAAAUUAUUAACUCAUUAAUAUUGAUGGCAUAUGUUAGUUUGAAUGUACAUGCAUGGCUUUGGUUAUUUGGUAAAUGAUGGUUGCUAGCAAACUUCAUUUAAAUGAACAGAUGUACAAAUAAAACAAUAUUGUACUUCUACCAAGAAAUAUAGGGUCAAUAAUUUGCAAAAGAAGAGGAUAUUUAAAAACGGUUUCAUACACAACCUUAUUAUUAAUCGAGUAUUGAUCAAAAUUAAUUUUAUAUUAGUUUUAAGGAUAAAAAUAUCAUUACAAAUAUAAAUAGAAUAAUAUAAUUAUCAUUUCGUUUUGCUUUUUAUUUUAUUUUGCACAACAUUUCGCUCUUCAGUAUCUGAUCUUACUCUUAUUAAUCAUGGUCUACACUUAAUGAUAAUUGCAACCGUAUGCUGUCAACACACGAUCUCAGAAACUGCCUAUAACUUUUGUACAACCUAGGCGAAUGAAUUUUCAGGUUUUCAAACUCUUAUAUUCUCAGAAAUAUCUCAACGUGAAUUCAAAGUUGAAUUUGAACUCACUACUCUAAUACAAUGAAAAGUUCUCCUGUCCACUAGCUUCUAUGUUAUGAGAAGAAGAAACUUAAGCUCUUGAGCAUACUAACAAAUCAAGCUAACACACUUCGAAGAGAAAUCUAAGCUACAUUCACAAGACUAUAUUGUAUAUUCACUCAAUGAGUGUUACCCAUUGUAAUAGUUGGCCUUAUCUAUGUUGUAAACUUAAAAUUCUUUCAUUUUUAAUUGUUAGGUUGCGUUCAAAUAUAUUUUAUUAUUUUGGGUUAUAUUUAUUGGGCUAGUAAUCAGCUUAAAUUUAUUUACCUUUUGUAUAAUUUCUAUGAUUAAAAUAUAUUAAUUAGUUAGAAUUUAAGUAGUUAUAAUUUAGGUAGAGUUAACUCUUUUAUAUUUUGUAUAUAAUAAGUUAGACUAAUUUCUUUGUAAUGAAUUCAAUAUCAUAUAAGUCAAUAAAUGGUGCAUUCUAUCAAUGAAAUAUACAAUUCUUUUAUUGCUCCUUCAUUUCAAAUAUGGUAUGAGAGCAAAGUAAUUUAGGCAUUCUAUGGUGUAGAUGAAAAGAGUUGUUCAAGGAAAGAAAUGUUGGAAGAAGAAAAUGCAAUUGUUCAAAGGGAUUCUUACAUUUUUGAGUUCAACAACUAGGUUUUAAGCCAAAAUCAAAGUAUUCUUAUUCAUUUUCUUGCUCUAUUUCUUUAUCAUUCUCUUUUACACUAUUCUCUUGUUACUUUCGAGCAAAAAUUACUCAUAUUACAUCAUAUUUUUCUCUUGUUAUUCUUGAGUAAAACUGCUCAUAUUUUAUCAUAUUAUUCUUUUGUUAUUCUGGAGCAAAAAAUGCUCAUAUUAUUAUUAUCUUGUUAUUCUUGAAGAAGUAUUGUUCAUAUUUCAUCAUAUUCUAGAUUUCUCUCAUUCUUUAGUCAAGAAACCAAUUCAGAUGAAUUCUUGAGUAUUGUUAUUCUUGAACAAAUAUUAUUCAUUUCAUCAUAUUCUAAAUUUCUCUCAUUCUUUGGUCAAGAAAUCAAGAUGGUAUUUGAGCAUCCAAUAAUAUUAUUUGAUAUUUUUUAUCUUCAUUUUUUUGUGUUGAUUCUUAAUGAACAACAUCAUUACUUUCAAUUUCAAUUUAUUAUCUCCUAAAAAUUCUUUUAUUUAUUCUAUUAAUUAUCUCAGUACAAUCUUGCUAAUUUUGUGCUAUAUUUUGAAGAAUUCUUUUAUUUCUUGAAAUUUCUUUUAUUCCUUGAAAUUUCUUUUAUUCAAAUGUCUUCUUUUACUAUCUUUCUAUACAAUCCUUAAGUUGCAUGAACAUUGAUUGAAAUUGUUGAACAAAGACAUCCAUGGGACAUAUGCAAACUCAAGAGAGAGAUACAAAGACAUGCACUGAAAAAUUAAUUAGUGGCCUUCCAGCAAAGGCUUUGGAGCUUUCUCCAUUCAAUCAUCUUUUGUUCACGUUAAAAGUUGUCAAUAUUCACUCUCCAGUUUGAAUGAGUGUUAAAAUAUAAUUUGUUAUAAUAUUGUAUUGAAUUAGUAAUUAUUUUAAACACAUUUAUCUUUAGCAUAAUUUCCAUGAUCAAAACAUGUAUAAAUAAAUUAGUUAGUUGGAAGUUAGGUAAAGUUAAAUCACUUAUAUUUUCUAUAUAAUAGGUUGAUUAAUUUCUCUGUAACAUUUCAUUCAAUUCAAUAUCAUGUAAUUCUUUCAAUUAAUAAAAUAUACAAUUUUUUUGCUCCUUGAUUUUUAAUAUGAUGAGAAGGUAGGUUUUAAAAGUGCAUUGAUGGAGUCUACAUGCCUUGGGUUUGAAAAUAGUAUUUGUUUAGAGCUUACAUAGUAUAGAUAUGGAAAGAAUAUUUGUAAUAUACUCGUUUUUAGUGAAAACAUGUUACUCGUUGUGUGAAGUACAAGAUGUUGUAAGUUGUCUGUCAUUUGGAGGUAAACUAGAAUAAAAAAUGUAGUAUUUUAUAUAUCUCUAUCACUGACCCUCUUCAAUUCAAUUUUCUUUAUCAACUGUUUGAGGUAAUUGGGUUAAUGGAACUUAAUGAAAUCAUUUUUCAAACUAUUCUAAGUAUUGCUCAAACUGUAUGCUCUCGUAAAAUGAAAUUCAUAAGAAAAUAACACUUGUAUAAAACAAGUACUACAUAACGAAAAUAAUAUAAGAAAAUAAUUUAGAUGAACUUCAGAAAAUAUGAGAUGAUGUAAUUAAACCAAUAAUGAUAAUUAAGGUUAACAAUGAACCGAACUCGAUAUUUAUUUGAGUCUCGUCUCAUCGUUUAUCUCAAUAAACAUAGUUCAUGUACCAUACGAGUCAAAUUUGAACAAAAAAUUAAGUCGUUGAAUAUAUGAGUCAAACUUUAGCCAAAUAUAGUUUAACGUGUUAAGUUUAUGAGCUUACUCGAUUAUAUAUGUAUAUAAAUCGUAUAUGUACACAUAGCUAGAGAGUAUUUAAUUUUAUACAUAGUAAAUAAAUAAUCAUCAUUUAAGCUGACGAACUGAAACUAUCUAACUAAUGAGUUAGCUGAACAGCUUGUGAACUUUUGACGAUCUAAACCAAUUCAGUCAAAGCAAAUUUCAAUCAAUUCGAAUUCAAAUUGAAAACAUAGCUCAUUUCAAACACAAAUUGAAUUUUUUACCAAACAAAUUCUUAUAGAGUUGAACCAAACUAAGCUUUGAUUCGAAUCAGUUUGUUUCCAUCUCUAAUAAUAAUAGUUAAAUUGUGUUUAAAAAUAGAUCUAACUGGAUAAUAAUAUAACUUAAAUAAUUUGGAUACAACUCAAUAUGAAUGUGUCUUUCAAUAUGACAAUGCAUUCACCACAAAUGUCAUACAUGUAUUAAGAUCAAAUCUUUUAAAGUGAUAUUUAAAAUCAAAACCAUGGUAGAUUGGCCCAAACAAGUCACUAGAUGGAGUCGCGAAUUUCCUAUUGUUUCAUUCGAAUCAUAUAACUAUGUUGAAAGUCACAAUUACCUAAUAAUCCACAAAUUUUAUAAUAAAUAAACAAUUAUUACAAACAUAUCUUACAAAAUAAUAUGACAUAAUUACCUUGUGGCUGAAGAUUUCUGGUGUCAAUGGUGGUGGAGGUAUUUGAUCCCCAUAAUUGAUUCGACGCCUAAAACGACGACGUCUAUAUAUAAUACUGGAAAUGAAAAUAAGUAAGAAAUAAUAGAUAAAGGAAAAAAAGAAGAAAGAAAGACAAAGAUGAGUACCCAAUAAAGUUAGGCCUAUAACGAAUGUUUGCUUGAGCAGCCAUAGUCUAACUCAGUAAAUGAGGACAAAGACACAGAGACUGAAAUUUUAGACAAAGGGUGAAACAAGUUUUUGGAUAUAGAAAAU